AGCAGCCGCGGUAAUUCCAGCUCCAAUAGCGUAUAUUAAAGUUGUUGCAGUUAAAAAAGCUCGUAGUUGAAUUUCGGGAUUGACGUGAUGGUCGUACCUUAAGGGGUAUGAACUGUCGCUGUUGAUUUCUCACCUUCUGGAGAAACUUGAUGUCCUUAAUUGGGUGUCUUGCGGAUCCAGGACCUUUACCUUGAAAAAUUAGAGUGUUUAAAGCAGGCAUUUUUGCUCGAAUACAUUAGCAUGGAAUAAUAAAAUAGGACGGCAUGGUUCUAUUUUGUUGGUUUCUAGGACCACCGUAAUGAUUAAUAGGGAUAGUUGGGGGCAUUAGUAUUCAAUUGUCAGAGGUGAAAUUCUUGGAUUUAUUGAAGACUAACUACUGCGAAAGCAUUUGCCUAAGGAUGUUUUCAUUAAUACAAGAACGAAAGUUA
rnacentral:rRNA from 1 species